rnacentral:hammerhead_ribozyme from 1 species
AUACAACUAACGAAUCCUAAACCGGAUGAAACGCGCGUCCUGAAU